rnacentral:tRNA from 1 species
GGAGAGGUGGCCGAGCGGUUUAAGGCGUAGCACCGGAACUGCUACGUAGAUUUCUAGCUACCGAGGGUUCGAAUCCCUCCCUUUCCU